rnacentral:lncRNA from 10 species
UUUCCCCAAACGCAGGCGCUCGGUGGCGGUAGCCGCGGUUGUUGGCCGACCGAGUGCCGGUCAUAAGCCCCCCCCGGUGGGGGGCAGCUGGUGUGCGGAUCGCGGCGGGAGAGAGGCGCGGUAGGAACGGGUCCCCGGAGCCGUGAACCGCGGGUACAGGUGUCCUGUCUGCGCUCUCUGCCAAGCCGGCUUGCUUCCUGAUCUGUUGCUAGGGCCGCUGGACCCCGUUGCUAAGGACCCUUGAGAUCUUUGUUACAGGAACAACUUUUUGACGUGAAGGAAGAUAGAAAUUUAGCCAUAAAAUUCCAUCCAAAACUUCCACUGAAUUGGAGUGAAAGGGAAGCAAUGCAGAAAUCAGAGGGCUCUGGAGGUACACAGUUGAAAAACAGAGCAACAGGUAACUAUGAUCAAAGGACAUCAUCAAGCACACAGUUAAAACACAGGAAUGCAGUUCAGGGAAGCAAAUCCUCAUUGUCAACCAGUUCUCCAGAGUCUGCAAGAAAACUUCAUCCUAGACCAAGUGAUAAACUGAACCCUAAAACAAUUAAUCCGUUUGGUGAACAGUCACGAGUGCCUUCUGCAUUUGCAGCUAUUUACUCUAAAGGAGGUAUUCCUUGCAG